ensembl:lncRNA
GUCCCUAUGGGUCCCAAUGCCUCUCUAUGUGUCCCUAUGUGUCCCUAUGUGUCCCUAUGGGUCGCUAUGGGUCGCUAGGGGUCCCGUCAGCGCUGUGUGCGCCCCAUAGGCGUCGCUAUGGGUCCCUAUGUGUCCCUAUGGGUCCCAAUGCCUCUCUAUGUGUCUCUGUGGCUCUCUAUGUGUCCCUAUGUGUCCCUAUGUGUCCCUAUGGGUCCCAAUGUGUCCCUAUGGGUCCCUAUGUGUCCCUAUGUGUCCCUAUGUGUCCGUAUGGGUCCCAAUGCCUCUCUAUGUGUCUCUAUGGCUCUCUAUGUGUCCCUAUGGGUCCCUAUGGGUCGCUAUGGGUCGCUAUGUGUCCCUAUGUGUCCCUGUGGGUCCCUAUGUGUCCCUAUGGGUCCCAAUGCCUCUCUAUGUGUCUCUAUGGCUCUCUAUGUGUCCCUAUGUGUCCCUAUGUGUCCCUAUGGGUCGCUAUGGGUCGCUGUGGGUCCCUAUGGCUCUCUAUGGGAUCUCUAUGGCUCUCUAUGUGUCCCUAUGGCUCUCUAUGGGAUCUCUAGGGGUCCCUAUGGGUCCCUAUGUGUCCCUAUGUGUCCCUAUGGGUCGCUAUGGGUCCCGUCAGCGCUGUGUGCGCCCCAUAGGCGUCGCUAUGUGUCCCUAUGUGUCCCUAUGGUGUCCUAUGGGUUGCUAUGUGUCCCUAUGUGUCCCUAUGGGUCCCUAUGGGUCCCAAUGUGUCCCUAUGUGUCCCUAUGGGUCCCUAUGUGUCCCAAUGCCUCUCUAUGUGUCUCUAUGGCUCUCUAUGUGUCCCUAUGUGUCCCUAUGGGUCCCAAUGUGUCCCUAUGGGUCCCAAUGCCUCUCUGUGGGUCCCUAUGGGUCUCUAUGUGUCCCUAUGGGUCCCAGUG